rnacentral:miRNA from 13 species
AGUUUUUCAGGUUUGCAUCCAGC